CCUGGCUCAGGAUGAACGCUAGCUACAGGCUUAACACAUGCAAGUCGAGGGGCAGCAUGGUCUUAGCUUGCUAAGGCCGAUGGCGACCGGCGCACGGGUGAGUAACACGUAUCCAACCUGCCGUCUACUCUUGGACAGCCUUCUGAAAGGAAGAUUAAUACAAGAUGGCAUCAUGAGUCCGCAUGUUCACAUGAUUAAAGGUAUUCCGGUAGACGAUGGGGAUGCGUUCCAUUAGAUAGUAGGCGGGGUAACGGCCCACCUAGUCUUCGAUGGAUAGGGGUUCUGAGAGGAAGGUCCCCCACAUUGGAACUGAGACACGGUCCAAACUCCUACGGGAGGCAGCAGUGAGGAAUAUUGGUCAAUGGGCGAGAGCCUGAACCAGCCAAGUAGCGUGAAGGAUGACUGCCCUAUGGGUUGUAAACUUCUUUUAUAAAGGAAUAAAGUCGGGUAUGGAUACCCGUUUGCAUGUACUUUAUGAAUAAGGAUCGGCUAACUCCGUGCCAGCAGCCGCGGUAAUACGGAGGAUCCGAGCGUUAUCCGGAUUUAUUGGGUUUAAAGGGAGCGUAGAUGGAUGUUUAAGUCAGUUGUGAAAGUUUGCGGCUCAACCGUAAAAUUGCAGUUGAUACUGGAUAUCUUGAGUGCAGUUGAGCAGGCGGAAUUCGUGGUGUAGCGGUGAAAUGCUUAGAUAUCACGAAGAACUCCGAUUGCGAAGGCAGCCUGCUAAGCUGCAACUGACAUUGAGGCUCGAAAGUGUGGGUAUCAAACAGGAUUAGAUACCCUGGUAGUCCACACGGUAAACGAUGAAUACUCGCUGUUUGCGAUAUACUGCAAGCGGCCAAGCGAAAGCGUUAAGUAUUCCACCUGGGGAGUACGCCGGCAACGGUGAAACUCAAAGGAAUUGACGGGGGCCCGCACAAGCGGAGGAACAUGUGGUUUAAUUCGAUGAUACGCGAGGAACCUUACCCGGGCUUAAAUUGCAGAUGAAUUACGGUGAAAGCCGUAAGCCGCAAGGCAUCUGUGAAGGUGCUGCAUGGUUGUCGUCAGCUCGUGCCGUGAGGUGUCGGCUUAAGUGCCAUAACGAGCGCAACCCUUGUUGUCAGUUACUAACAGGUUCCGCUGAGGACUCUGACAAGACUGCCAUCGUAAGAUGUGAGGAAGGUGGGGAUGACGUCAAAUCAGCACGGCCCUUACGUCCGGGGCUACACACGUGUUACAAUGGGGGGUACAGAGGGCCGCUACCACGCGAGUGGAUGCCAAUCCCCAAAACCUCUCUCAGUUCGGACUGGAGUCUGCAACCCGACUCCACGAAGCUGGAUUCGCUAGUAAUCGCGCAUCAGCCACGGCGCGGUGAAUACGUUCCCGGGCCUUGUACACACCGCC
rnacentral:rRNA from 1 species